rnacentral:rRNA from 1 species
ACGACUUACUCCCCCUCGCUGAACCGAAGUGGAGCGCCCCGGAUGAGGCACCCUCACUCCGACCCAAGUCGGAUGACUUGACGGGCGGUGUGUGCAAAGAGCAGGGGCAAAUUCACCGCGGGAUGUUGACCCGCGAUUACUACGGAAUCCAUUUUCACGAGGGCGAGUUACAGCCCUCGAUCCAAACUACGAUGGGGUUUCAGGAUUGCCUCCCCCUUUGGAGGUCGGGUCCCAUUGUCCCCACCUUUGUAGCGCGCGUGUUGCCCGGAGUAUUCGGGGCAUACGGACCUACCGGAGACCUCUCCUUCCUCUGCCUUAACGGCAGCGAUCCCGCUAGUGUGCUCCUACAAUCGCUUGUAAAAUCGCGACUAACGGCGAGGGUCUCGUUCGUUAUCUGACUUAACAGAACGCCUUACGGUACAAACUGACUAAGGACAUGCACCACCUCUCGGAGAAUCGGGCAAGGUCUUCGGCCUGGCUUUCAUCCCUCCGUCGCCUCCGGUGAGUUUUCCGGCGUUGAAUCCAAUUGAACCGCACGCUCCUCCCGUUGCGGUGCUCUCCGGGCAAUUCCUUUAAGUUUCAGACUUGCGUCCGUACUCCCCAGGCGGUCAGCUUAACGGCUUCUCUGCGGGACCACGAUGCCCCGAAGGCGUCGUGUCACCUAGCUCGCAUCUGAUAUCGCUGAGAGUAUGCGGGUAUCUAAUCCGGAUCGCUGCCCGCUCUCUCCUCCCUCACCGCACGAGCGCGAUCUGGCGCACCGGCUUCUGCAUUGGUGAUCUUGCAGGGGAUCACAUGACUAUAGCACCUACCUGCUGAG